rnacentral:lncRNA from 1 species
CUACACAGAACAAUGCCAGUAAGAUUGUGGACCUGUACAUCCCAUGGAAAUGCUCCAGCAGCCAUCACGUCAUUGGUGCCAAAGACCACACGUCCAUGCAGAUGAACAUGGCGAGGUUGACCAGGUUACGGGCAGGUUUAACGACCCGUUUAAAACUUAUGUUAUCCACAGGGCCGUUCGUGGGAUGGGUGAGUCAGAGAAGCAUUUCUGAGUUUGCUUGUUUCAAAAUCAGGUUCAUGCAUUAAUA